rnacentral:rRNA from 1 species
ACGUACCUCUGGUGUACCAGUUGUCCUGCCAAGGGCAUGGCUGGGUAGCUAUGUACGGAAUGGAUAAGCGCUGAAAGCAUCUAAGCGCGAAGCCAACUUCAAGAUAAGAUUUCCCACCGCAAGGGUAAGACCCCAGAAAGACUAUCUGGUUGAUAGGUCGAAGGUGUAAGUGCAGCAAUGUAUUUAGCUUAUCGAUACUAAUAGGUCGAGGACUUGACCAA